AGUGAACGCUGGCGGUAGGCCUAACACAUGCAAGUCGAACGGCAGCACAGUAAGAGCUUGCUCUUACGGGUGGCGAGUGGCGGACGGGUGAGGAAUACAUCGGAAUCUACUUUUUCGUGGGGGAUAACGUAGGGAAACUUACGCUAAUACCGCAUACGACCUACGGGUGAAAGCAGGGGAUCUUCGGACCUUGCGCGAUUGAAUGAGCCGAUGUCGGAUUAGCUAGUUGGCGGGGUAAAGGCCCACCAAGGCGACGAUCCGUAGCAGGUCUGAGAGGAUGAUCAGCCACACUGGAACUGAGACACGGUCCAGACUCCUACGGGAGGCAGCAGUGGGGAAUAUUGGACAAUGGGCGCAAGCCUGAUCCAGCCAUACCGCGUGGGUGAAGAAGGCCUUCGGGUUGUAAAGCCCUUUUGUCGGGAAAGAAAAGCAGCAGGUUAAUACCCCGCUGUUCUGACGGUACCCAAAGAAUAAGCACCGGCUAACUUCGUG
rnacentral:rRNA from 1 species